GGUUGAUCCUGCCAGUAGUCAUAUGCUUGUUUUAAAGAUUAAGCCAUGCAAGUCUAAGUAUAAGCUUUUAUACAGCGAAACUGCGAAUAGCUCAUUAAAACAGUUAUAAUUUACACGGUGACAUUAUUAGAUGGAUAUCCAUGGUAAUUCUGUGGCUAAUACAUGCGAAAAAUUCCGACUCACGAAGGAAUGCAUUCAUUGUAUUUAGUAACCAACAUAAGAGUGAACACAGUGAAAUAGCGGAUCUCGUUUCGAGACAGACCGUUCAAGUUUCUGACCUAUCAGCUUUGGU
rnacentral:rRNA from 1 species